rnacentral:rRNA from 1 species
AUUGAACGCUGGCGGCAUGCUUUACACAUGCAAGUCGGACGAGUGGCGAACGGGUGAGUAACGCCUCGGAACGUACCGACUACUGGGGGAUAACUGCCCGAAAGGACAGCUAAUACCGCAUAUUAUUCGAGCUGCCGAUGUGUGAUUAGCUGGUUGGUGGGGUAAAGGCCCACCAAAGCGACGAUCCGUAGCUGGUCUGAGCGGAUGAUCAGCCACACCGGGACUGAGACACGGCCCAGACUCCUACGGGAGGCAGCAGUGGGGAAUGUUGGACAAUGGGCGGUAGCCUGAUCCGGCCAUGCCGCGUGUAUGAAGAAGGCCUUGGGGUUGUAAUGUACUUUCAGCGGGGAGGCGUGACCCGCAGAAGAAGCACCGGCUAACUCCGUGCCAGCAGCCGCGGUAAUAC